rnacentral:rRNA from 1 species
CAGCAGCCGCGGUAAUUCGGGGGGUGCAAGCGUUAUUCGGAAUCAUUGGGCGUAAAGGGCGCGUAGGCGGUCUUUUAAGUCAGGUGUGAAAGCCCUCGGCUUAACCGAGGAAGUGCAUUUGAUACUAAAAGACUUGAGUAUGGGAGAGGGAAGCGGAAUUCCUGGUGUAGCGGUGAAAUGCGUAGAUAUCAGGAGGAACACCGGUGGCGAAGGCGGCUUCCUGGACCAAUACUGACGCUGAGGCGCGAAGGCGUGGGGAGCAAACAGGAUUAGAUACCCUGGUAGUCCACGCAGUAAACUGUGAACACUAGGUGUAGCGGGUAUUGACCCCCGCUGUGCCGCAGCUAACGCAUUAAGUGUUCCGCCUGGGAAGUACGGCCGCAAGAUUAAAACUUAAAGGAAUUGACGG